rnacentral:tRNA from 1 species
AAUAAAUUAGUUAAUAAAAAAUAUAAAUAACAUUAAUUUGUCAAAUUAAAAUAAAUUCUUAUUUAUUA